rnacentral:rRNA from 1 species
CCUACGGGAGGCAGCAGUGAGGAAUAUUGGUCAAUGGGCGGAAGCCUGAACCAGCCAAGUAGCGUGCAGGAUGACGGCCCUACGGGUUGUAAACUGCUUUUAUACGGGAAUAACGCGCCUUACGUGUAGGGCUUUGCAUGUACCGUAUGAAUAAGGACCGGCUCAUUCCGUGCCAGCAGCCGCGGUAAUACGGAAGGUCCGGGCGUUAUCCGGCUUUAUUGGGGUUAAAGGGAGCGUAGGCCGCAUGUCAAGCGUGCUGUGAAAUGUCCGGGCUCAACCCGGGCCUUGCAGCGCGAACUGGCGUGCUUGCGUCCGCGGUAAGCAGGCGGAAUUCGUCUUGUAGCGGUGCAAUGCUUAGAUAUGAC